CUUUCUUCUAAGUGUUCAUAAGACCAUUGACUUUUGUUUUAUCCCUUCGUAUACAAUAAUAUUCUCUUCUUCUCAGCCUUCAUUUUUCAUCCAUGGCGGAUUCAAUUCUUUUCAAUGUUGCUGCUAGUGUUAUUACUAAAUUGGGAUCUUCUGCACUUCGAGAACUUGGAUCUCUGUGGGGUGUCAACGAUGAGCUCGAUAAACUCCAAAACACUCUUUCGGCCAUUAAAGCCGUGCUUCUUGAUGCAGAGGAGCAACAAUCCAAGAGCCACACAGUCAAGGAUUGGAUUUCAAAGAUUAAAGAUGUUUUCUAUGACAUUGAUGACUUGAUUGACGAGUUCUCUUAUGAAACUUUGAGAAGACAAGUUCUUACCAAAGAUAGAACAACCACCAAACAAGUACGUAUCUUCUUCUCCAAAUCUAAUCAGAUUGCUUUUGGUUUCGAAAUGGGUCAAACAAUUAAAAAAGUUAGGGAGAAGCUAGAUGCUAUUGCGGCUGAUAAAGCUCAACUCCACCUUUCUGUGAGUGUGAGGGAGGUACGAGAUAAUGAGCCAAGGAAGGUACGAGAGACUUCCUCAUUCAUACUCGAGGGGGAAGUCAUUGGUAGGGAUGAGGAUAGGAAAUCUAUUAUGGAUUUUCUGCUGAAUACCAACAACAUCAUAAAGGAUAAUGUUGAAGUUGUUUCCAUUGUUGGAAUGGGAGGAUUAGGAAAGACAGCACUUGCUCAAGCUGUCUAUAAUGAUCGAAAAAUAAACAAUCAUUUUAAGUUGAAAAUGUGGGUGUGUAUUUCUGAAGAAUUUGAUAUCAAAGUAAUUGUUGAAAAACUUUUAGAGUCUAUUACGAAAACAAAACAAGAGUCCCUUCAGUUGGAUAUAUUACAAAGUAUGCUUCAAGAGAAAAUUGAUGGGAAAAAAUACUUGUUGGUCAUGGAUGAUGUGUGGAAUGGAGACCACGAGAAAUGGAUUGGUCUGAAAAGAUUUCUAAUGGGUGGUGCUAGAGGAAGUAAGAUUUUGGUGACAACCCGUAAUCUACAAGUUGCACAGGCUUCUGACACUGUUUGGUUCCAUCACUUAAAAGAACUUGACAAGGACAACUCUUGGGCGUUGUUUAGGAAAAUGGCAUUCUUAAACAAAGAAGAAGAGCUUGAGAAUUCAAAUUUGGUUAGAAUGGGUAAAGAGAUUGUAGGAAAGUUGAAAGGUUAUCCCCUUGCAAUAAGAGUAGUUGGACGUUUGUUAUAUUUCAAAAACACAGAAAUGGAUUGGUCGUCAUUCAAGGACAACGAACUUGACUCAAUUUUGCAACAAGAUGAUCAAAUUCAACCAAUAUUGAAGAUAAGUUUUAACCACCUUCCACCUAAUUUGAAGCAAUGUUUUACGUAUUGUGCUUUGUUUCCCAAAGAUUAUGAGUUUAAAAAGGAAGGAUUGGUAAAACAAUGGAUGGCACAAGGUUUCAUUCAACCACAUAAUAAAAAGGCAAUUGAAGAUGUGGGUGAGGAUUAUUUUAAAGAGUUAGUGGGGAGGUCAUUCUUUCAAGACGUAAGAAAAAACAAAUGGGGAGACUUCAAGUACUGUAAGAUGCAUGAUUUGUUACAUGAUCUUGCGUGUUCGAUGGGAGAAAAUGAAUGUGCGGUUGUAAGUGAUGAUGUUGGGUCCAUUGACAAAAGGACUCGACAUGCCUCUUUUCUCUUAAGCAAGAGGACAACAAGGGAAGUUGUAACAAAAUCAUUCACUGAGGUAACGAGUUUGAGAACAUUGGAUAUUGAUAGUAGUGCUUCUUUCCGUUCUUUCAAGAAAACUUAUCACAUGAACCUUUCCCGAUUACGAACAUUGAAUUUGGAUAGAUGUUGUUGUCAUCCUCCUAAGUUUAUUGAUAAGUUGAAACAUUUGAGAUAUCUUAAUCUUUCUGGUUUGAAUGUAAGUUUCCUUCCCAAUUCUAUUACCAGAUUGUAUAAUUUGGAAACACUUAUCCUUCGCCACUGCUUUUGGCUAAGAAAAUUACCAAAAGAUAUUAACAAUUUGAUCAAUCUCAGGCAUCUUGAUAUUUAUGAUUGUUGCAGUUUGACUCACAUGCCAAAAGGCUUAGGUGGGAUGACCAACCUUCAGACAAUGAGUAUGUUCGCAUUAGGAAAGAAUAAAGGUGGUGACUUAAGUGAAUUGAAUGGACUAAAAAGCUUGAGAGGAUUAUUGAGUAUUAAAGGUUUACAAUUUUGCACAACUACUGAUUUGAAAAAUGUAAGCUACUUGAAAGAAAUGUAUGGAAUCCAAAAGUUGGAAUUACACUGGAACAUAAAAAUGGAUCAUGAAGAUAUCUUAGAUGAUGGUGAUGAAGAUGAUGAGGGAGUUUUGGAGUGCUUAAAACCACAUUCAAAUGUUCGCAAAAUGAUUAUAAAAGGAUACAGAGGAAUGAAGUUAUGUGAUUGGUUUUGUUCUAAUUUCCUGGGUGGUUUGGUUAGCAUAGAGCUUUCACAUUGUGGAAAUUUGGAGCAUCUCCCACAGUUUGAUCAAUUCCCAUAUCUCAAGCAUCUUCUUCUUGGAUACUUGCCCAAUAUUGAAUACAUCGAUAGCAGCAAUUCUGUUUCUUCAACAACAUUUUUUCCAUCCCUUGAGAAACUAAGGAUUGAGAGCAUGCCCAAGUUGAAAGGGUGGUGGAAGGGGGAAAUUUCAUGUCCAACAACAUUACAUCAACUCUCAGAAUUAUGUAUUUUUUAUUGUCCUCUGUUGGCUUCUAUUCCACAACAUCCAUCUUUGGAAUUAUUGAGAAUACGUGGUGUCAGUGUGCAACUUUUUGAAAUGGUAAUACGAAUGGCUACUAACCUUUCUGAACAUUCUUCUUCUUCUUCAACAUUGUCUAAAUUAUCUUUCCUUGAGAUUGGAACUAUUGAUCUUGAGUUAUUGCCAGUGGAGUUAUUCUGCAAUAUGACACAUCUUGAGUCUCUUAUCAUAGAACGAUGCAAAAGUUUACAAAUUUCUUCUCCCCAUCUUGUCGAUGAGGAUAAUGGUGAUGUAGUAUGGAAAAAACUCCUUAAUCUCCGGACACUUCGGCUUGAGAGCAUUACCAAAUUGGAGUAUUUGCCCAAGAGUUUGAAAUAUAUCGCAAGUCUUGAAACUUUGAAGCUAUCAAAUUGUGAAAAUUUAGUGAGUAUCGAGGGGAUUGGGAAACUCACUUCACUAUCACAUUUGGAAAUUGAUAGAUGUCCUAAUUUACCUUUAUUGUCGGAAGAUGUCGGCGACCUCAUUUCCCUAUCACAGUUGCUUAUUUGGAGUUGUCCCAAAUUAACUUCCUUGCCAGAAGGAAUCACUCGCCUCACUUCACUCUCAAGUUUGUGUCUUGAAGAUUGUCCCAAUUUAGUCUCCUUGCCCCAAGAAUUUCUCCACCACCACAGCUCCUUACCAGGAGGACGGUUCUUGAGAAUUUUGAACUGUCCCAAAUUGCGGAUUCAAGACGAGAAACAAAAGGAAGAAGAAAAAGAAGACAAGGAGGAUUGGACUGACUUCACACAUGCCUUGACGGGAUGUAGGCACACAUUACGUUACUGGUUUUAAGAGCUUCAAAAAGCCGAACGUCAUAUGAUCUCUACUCCAAGGAAUAAAGUUAUGGUUUUCAACUCUGUAGGUUUGUUUUCACCAUGAAAUAGUCAGUAAUGGUUUCAAUAUAUAUAUGAUUGCAUCAACAGAAGUCAAAUCCCAAGAACAGACAAUGAUCACAAAAUGGUGGGUAAUUAUAUAAUUGCAUUUCUUCUGCUCUCGAUAUUUUUCCUUAGACUAACAACCUACCAAUUUAAUUUGGUUUCUUUUUUUCAAAGGUCACCCUCUGAGUUGAGAGUCAGGAGAAAUGGCUUGUAAUACUAACAAUACUAUUCUUUUAAAAUGAGGCCUUUGUGUGGUCAAUAUCAUACAAAAAGAAAGAGAAAAAUAUCUGUUCUAAAUUUGGGUUUACUUCAUGUCCUUCUCUUUCCCUGAGUUUCUUUUGGACGUUUUCCCUUCACAAUAAUUCCAACUUCAUCACAUCUCUCUUGAGCCUUUCUCCAAAUUAUAUACUCCAAUGUAUCAUUAUAACUUUUUUCUAAAUAUACUAAAAUAUCAAAGGAUAUAACCUUUUUAUUAUUAUUGAUAGUGAAUAAUUUUUUAUUAUACUCACCUGGUUUUUUGUUAUUGACUUGGGAAUGUUUUUCCUACACUAAAAUUAAAUUUCAUCUAUGAUGGUUGAUCCUUUCCUUUUGAUAAUUAAAAAAUACAAAGAUUUAUAAUUGGUUAUUUAAGAUGGUACCAAACCAAGUGAUUUAAAAGAUUGAGAUACAAAUAUAAUAAUUAGAUUCAAAAUAUUAGUAUAUAUAUAGCAAUAUUUUAACAAAAUUACGAGUAUAACAAAAUUUGUCAAAAAUUAUCACUAAUAGAUCAUAAGAUUUUUACCGCUAACUAAAACAUUAACAAACUUUCCUUUUGAUUGAUACAAAAUUUCUUUUAUGUCCAAAUUAAACACAUACAAAACAAAAAACCAGCAGCCCCAACACCAAAGACACAUAGCUAGCGGCAACAAACUCCCCCUUUAACCUAUUUUGUAAACAAUACCUUGUGUUUCUUUUUAUUGAUAUGUAGUUUUUAACUUUUUUUUUUAAUAAAUAAACUUGAUAUCAUUUAAAAUCGACUUAAUAUCACUAAAUGAAAUUGCUCUAACGUGACAUUUCACACUUUUCAUAUGCAAGUCUGUCAUAUUUGAAAAUGUUUAAAAUGUACUAUAGAAAAAAUCCACCAGUCAAUUCUCUGACUAAGUCUUAUUAUACUUUUUGCAAUUAUCAGUCUUCAAUGUUUUAUUUAAUGGUGUUUUCAACGCUUUUCUUUCUCUCUCACGUUUUAUUAACCAUUUGAGUGAAGAGAGACUACAUCAUACUGCGAGUUUCCCUAUGACUUUUGGAAUUAGUAUGGCUGACUGGUUCACCAAGUUAGAGCAAAUGCUGCACAAUCUUCCGUCAUCCAAUAUUCGAAAGGUUGCAAUUGUGACACUAAACAACCCAAGUGAGAUAUCCAAAUGUAUGUGUGAAUCCGAGCAAAGUCCUACAUUGGUCAGAUAAGAGGAUGAUCUUGGGUAUAUAAGUAAGGACAACAAUCUCUAUUGAUAUGAGACCUUUUGGGAUGAUACAAAAAGCAAAGCUACGAGAGUAUAUACCCAAAGUAGACAAUAUCGUCAUACCAUUAUGGAGAUAUUCGGGGGUGUGUCGAAAAAAGAUGUAGUAAAGCCUCAAAAGUAAGUCACCAGAUUCGUGGUUAGACUCUAUCAAAUGGGCCGCGUGAAUAUCCAAUUAAAGACAUCAUAUUCAAAUUGGGCUCUUCCGCACUCCAGGAGCUUGGUUCGCUAUGGCGUGUCAAUUCUGAACUUCACAAACUCAAACACUCUCUUUCUGCCAUUCAAGCCGUGCUUCUCGACGCCGAGGAGCAACAAUCCAAGAACAAUCAAGUCAAAGAUUGGGUUUUAAAGCUUCAAGAUGUUUUGUACGAGAUUGAUGACUUGAUCGACGAGUCAUCUUACGAAACCUUGAGAAGGCAAGUUCUGGCCAAACACCGAAGGACGAGAAAACAAAAAUGAGAAGACCAUUUUUGGUGUAUGCAUCUGUGGAGGACACAAAGAAACAGAGAUUUACCCAAAACAACAUUGCGUGAAGGAUAAUGUCAUACAAUUGGGUGGCCUUUUUAACUUAGUUUUUCUUUUCUUUUUUCCUUUCUUUCUUUCUUUUAUGUAAUAUUAUUACAUAUUAUCAAGUUGUCUAAAUGUUUAUCUUGACAUGGAUCGGAUUUGUUUGUGUACCUAUUAUUAUUGUUGAUAGUGGAUAAUUUGACUAUGGUCA